AAGAGGCAGUGCAAGCAGCCAUAUCACAGUUUACAACCAUCCCUGUGCCUAAAUUUGGCCCGAACGAAAAUUUUGAGAAGGAUUCAUUGGGACAGCUUGGAGAAGAGAGAAGACUUAUAUUAGGAAAAGUUACAACAAAAUUACUUACUGAUGCAAUAGGUAAAUAUUAAUAUUUUGUGUAGAUUGGUACUAGUUUUAC